rnacentral:rRNA from 1 species
CCUACGGGAGGCAGCAGUGGGGGAUAUUGCACAAUGGGGGAAACCCUGAUGCAGCGACGCCGCGUGUGGGAAGACGGUCCUCUGGAUUGUAAACCACUGUCCCCAGGGACGAAGAUGACGGUACCUGGGGAGGAAGCUCCGGCUAACUACGUGCCAGCAGCCGCGGUAAUACGUAGGGAGCGAGCGUUGUCCGGAAUUACUGGGUGAAAAGGGAGCGUAGGCGGGACUGCAAGUUGGGUGUCAAAUCUACCGGCUCAACCGGUAGCCGCACUCAAAACUGCAGUUCUUGAGUGAAGUAGAGGAAGGCGGAAUUCCUAGUGUAGCGGUGAAAUGCGUAGAUAUUAGGAGGAACACCAGUGGCGAAGGCGGCCUGCUGGGCUUUUACUGACGCUGAGGCUCGAAAGUGUGGGGAGCAAACAGGAUUAGAUACCCCAGUAGUC